CGAGCGGUAGAGAGAAGCUUGCUUCUCUUGAGAGCGGCGGACGGGUGAAGUAAUACCUAGGAAUCUGCCUGAUAGUGGGGGAUAACGUUCGGAAACGGACGCUAAUACCGCAUACGUCCUACGGGAGAAAGCAGGGGACCUUCGGGCCUUGCGCUAUCAGAUGAGCCUAGGUCGGAUUAGCUAGUUGGUGAGGUAAUGGCUCACCAAGGCUACGAUCCGUAACUGGUCUGAGAGGAUGAUCAGUCACACUGGAACUGAGACACGGUCCAGACUCCUACGGGAGGCAGCAGUGGGGAAUAUUGGACAAUGGGCGAAAGCCUGAUCCAGCCAUGCCGCGUGUGUGAAGAAGGUCUUCGGAUUGUAAAGCACUUUACGUUGGGAGGAAGGGCAUUAACCUAAUACGUUAGUGUUUUGACGUUACCGACAGAAUAAGCACCGGCUAACUCUGUGCCAGCAGCCGCGGUAAUACAGAGGGUGCAAGCGUUAAUCGGAAUUACUGGGCGUAAAGCGCGCGUAGGUGGUUUGUUAAGUUGAAUGUGAAAUCCCCGGGCUCAACCUGGGAACUGCAUCCAAAACUGGCAAGCUAUAGUAUGGUAGAGGGUAGUGGAAUUUCCU
rnacentral:rRNA from 1 species